rnacentral:sRNA from 1 species
UGAGCGUCCGGGCCCAGGGGCUCCGCACAGCAGGUUCUCCCCAUGACACCACCUGAACGUCUCUUCCUCCCAAGGGUGCGUGGCACCACCCUACACCUCCUCCUUCUGGGGCUGCUGCUGGUUCUGCUGCCUGGGGCCCAGGUGAGGCAGCAGGAGAAUGGGGGCUGCUGGGGUGGCUAAGCCAAACCUUGAGCCCUAGAGCCCCCCUCACCUCUGUUCUCCCCUAGGGGCUCCCUGGUGUUGGCCUCACACCUUCAGCUGCCCAGACUGCCCGUCAGCACCCCAAGAUGCAUCUUGCCCACAGCACCCUCAAACCUGCUGCUCACCUCAUUGGAGACCCCAGCAAGCAGAACUCACUGCUCUGGAGAGCGAACACGGACCGUGCCUUCCUCCAGGAUGGUUUCUCCUUGAGCAACAAUUCUCUCCUGGUCCCCGCCAGUGGCAUCUACUUCGUCUACUCCCAGGUGGUCUUCUCUGGGAAAGCCUACUCUUCCAAGGCCACCUCCUCCCCACUCUACCUGGCCCAUGAGGUCCAGCUCUUCUCCUCCCAGUACCCCUUCCACGUGCCUCUCCUCAGCUCCCAGAAGAUGGUGUAUCCAGGGCUGCAGGAACCCUGGCUGCACUCGAUGUACCAUGGGGCUGCAUUCCAGCUCACCCAGGGAGACCAGCUAUCCACCCACACAGAUGGCAUCCCCCACCUAGUCCUCAGCCCUAGUACUGUCUUCUUUGGAGCCUUCGCUCUGUAGAACUUGGAAAAAUCCAGAAAGAAAAAAUAAUUGAUUUCGAGACCUUCUCCCCAUUCUGCCUCCAUUCGGACCAUUUCAGGGGUCACCACCACCUCUCCUUUGGCCAUUCCAACAGCUCAAGUCUUCCCUGAUCAAGUCACCGGAGCUUUCAAAGAAGGAAUUCUAGGCAUCCCAGGGGACCACACCUCCCUGAACCAUCCCUGAUGUCUGUCUGGCUGAGGAUUUCAAGCCUGCCUAGGAAUUCCCAGCCCAAAGCUCUCGGUCUGUCCCACCAGCUAGGUGGAGCCUAGAUCCACGCACGGAGGAAGAGCAGGCACAUGGAGGAGCUUGGGGGAUGACUAGAGGCAGGGAGGGGACUAUUUAUGAAGGCAAAAAAAAUAAAUUAUUUAUUUAUGGAGGAUGGAGAGAGGGGAAUAAUAGAAGAACAUCCAAGGAGAAACAGAGACAGGCCCAAGAGAUGAAGAGUGAGAGGGCAUGGGCACAAGGCUGAACAAGAGAGAAAGAAGUAGGCAUGAGGGAUCACAGGGCCCCAGAAGGCAGGGAAAGGCUCUGAAAGCCAGCUGCCGACCAGAGCCCCACACGGAGGCAUCUGCACCCUCGAUGAAGCCCAAUAAACCUCUUUUCUCUGAAA